GACAACGUGCCAGAGUGGUUAAUGGGUAUGACUCGAAUCUCAUCAUUCGGCUAUCAUAUGGCUUCGGCCGCACAGGUUCGAGUCCUGUCGUUGUCG